UACGUAGGGUGCGAGCGUUAAUCGGAAUUACUGGGCGUAAAGCGUGCGCAGGCGGUUCGUUGUGUCGGCGGGGAAGGCCCCGGGCUCAACCUGGGAAUGGCCGUUGAAACUGGCGAACUGGAGUGUGGCAGAGGGGGGUGGAAUUCCGCGUGUAGCAGUGAAAUGCGUAGAGAUGCGGAGGAACACCGAUGGCGAAGGCAGCCCCCUGGGCUGACACUGACGCUCAGGCACGAAAGCGUGGGGAGCAAACAGG
rnacentral:rRNA from 1 species